UACGUGGGUGGCAAGCGUUGUCCGGAUUUAUUGGGCGUAAAGGGUUCGUAGGCGGUAAUACAUGUCAGAUGUGAAAUCUUGUGGCUUAACCACAUCAAGCAUCUGAAACUGUAUAACUUGAGUGGAGGAGAGGUAAGUGGAAUUCCUAGUGUAGCGGUGAAAUGCGUAGAUAUUAGGAAGAAUACCAGUAGCGAAGGCGACUUACUGGCCUCUAACUGACGCUGAUGAACGAAAGCGUGGGUAGCAAACAGGAUUAGAUACCCU
rnacentral:rRNA from 1 species